GAUGAAGAACGCAGCAAAAUGCGAUACUUGGUGUGAAUUGCAGAAUCCCGUGAACCAUCGAGUUUUUGAACGCAAGUUGCGCCCGAAGCCUUUUGGCCGAGGGCACGUCUGCCUGGGCGUCACGCAUCGCGUCGCCCCCCACAACUCUCCGUAAAGGGAACUUGUGUCUUGGGGGCGGAUAUUGGUCUCCCGUGCUCAUGGCGUGGUUGGCCGAAAUAGGAGUCCCUCCGGUGGACGCACGAACUAGUGGUGGUCGUAAAAACCCUCGUCUUUUGUUUCGUGCCGUUAGUCGCGAGGGAAACUCUUUAAAAACCCAAAUGUGUCGUCUCUUGACGGCGCUUCGACCGCGACCCCAGGUCAGGCGGGACUACCCGCUGAGUUUAAGCAUAUCAAUAAGCGGAGGA
rnacentral:misc_RNA from 1 species